UGUCGCGGGGUUAACCAGACCCGGGCUCCGCUUGGCGGACACCGUGCCGAGGCCAUAGCCGCGCCGCCCUCUGCCCGGCUCCGGGCCCAACCUCGAGACCUCCCACGGGGAGCUCGCGCCUGCGACUGCAAUGGGCGGCUUCUGAGGCGAAAGCCACCCCGCGGCGGGCGGUUUCGGGCUUUACUUUUAUUUGGGGACGAGGGGAAGGAGGAGGCGCAGCGCAGCCCUGCACCGAGGCGCGGGGGCCGGAAGCGCGGGCGGCCCCUCCCCCUUCCGCUGCGCCCCUCCCCCACCGCCGCCACCGCGCGCGACCCCCACCCGGCGCGCGACCCGCUCUGCGUCCCCGCCGGCGCCACGUUCCCGCGUCCUUCCCCGCCCGGGCCACGGGGCACGUCCCUCCCCGCCCCCCGCUUACCUGUGGCUGCCGCCUCGCCGCUCUCCGGGGCGGGAACUUCCACUCCCCCCUCCCAGGAGCUGUACCCCGCCCCGCCCCACGUCCGUUUCCGGAGGCCUUGAGCAGCUGUGUGCUCGCGGGAGGCCGUUUUCAUCGAUGAAUGGCGGCGCUGUCAACUCACCUCCUGCCAAUUGACCUUGACCGACGCCGGCCCUGUCCUCUUGGAAGGAGAAAUGAAGAGUGAAGGCUUUGACUUCCUCAGCUUUUUUUUUUUUUUUUUUUGAGAUGGAGUCUCUUUUAUUUUGUUUGUUUCCCCCGAGAUUGAGACGGGGGUCUCGCUCUGUGGCCCAGGCUGUAGUGCAGUGGUUCCAUCUCGAUUCACUGCAGCCGCCAACCCCGGGAUUCAAGCGAUUCUCCAACCUCAGCCUGUGGGGCAGCUGGGACCACAGGCGCGCGCCACCACGCUUGGCUUGAAGAGAUGAGGACUCUAUGUUGCUCAGGCUGGUCUUGAACUCCUGGGCUCAAGUGAUCCGCCGCCUCAGCCUCUCAAAGUCCUGGGAUUACAGGCGUGAGCCACCGCACCCGGCCUUACUCAGAUUUUUCUUAAUCCCAUAAAGUAACAUUGAGUUGUGUCCUUUAACCCAUGGGGAAGGAUUUUCUACAGAAACGGAUUUACAAUGAGACCUAACAAGGUGGCCGGGCGCGGUGGCUCGUGCCUGUAAUCCCAGCACUUUGGGAGGCCCAGGCGGGCGGAUCACCUGAGAUCGAGAGUUCGAGACCAGCCUGACCAACAUGGAGAAACCCCGUCUGUACUAAAAAAUACAAAAGUAGCCGGGUGUGGUGGCGCAUGCCUGUAAUCCAAGCUACUUGGGAGGCUGAGGCAGGAGAAUCGCUUGAAUCCGGGAGGCGGAGGUUGCGGUGAGCCGAGAUCGCACCGUUGCACUCCAGCCUGGGCAACGAGCAAAACUCCGUCUCAAAGAAAAAAGAAACGUAACAGAGUGUUAAUAAAAUGUUAUGCCGUCGUUUUAAUGCAUUACGAAAACUUUUCAGAAUAUUUUUGUGUCUACCUCUCUGGGAGUUAUGCCUUAUUCUUAAUUUUUAAAAUUUCCUUGUAAAAUGCUGUUUUAUGGCUUUAAUGAUAGUAAACGACGAAAGAUAAACUGUUUUAGUAUGCUCUUGACAAAAAGUUCCGAAAGUUUUCUGAAAUUUUACUAGUUUGAGAUCCCCAAUUUAGGAAACUGAUUUAGUAGAGGGAGCUUUGCCUAUUUUUGGCCCUUUGGGUCGGAGAAUGUGAUAUAAAGCCGAAGGUUUACUCUGCCAGACACUCCUAAGAGGUCACUAACGUUUAGCUAUUGACAUUCAGCAAAAAUUGUUGAUUACCUAUUAACUGCUAGACCAGGCGACAACUGUUAUUAAGUCAGUGUUUCAGCAUUACUGAAAGAAAAGUGGCCUAUAAAGGUAAGGGAGGGGAAGAGUUUCUCAGAUAUCAGCUUUCGAUGAUUAUAAUAAAGUCCAGCCUCAAUCAUUCUGGAAUCCAGAAUAUUGAUGGCUGGAAGGCUGGUUGUACAAGUUAA